GAUGAACGCUGGCGGCAUGCCUAACACAUGCAAGUCGAGCGGAAGGACGAGAAGCUUGCGCCUUUGACGUUAGCGGCGGACGGGCGAGUAACACGUGGAUCACCAACUUAUAAGACUGGGGUAACAUCGGAAGACCGGAUCUACUACUGGCGCAUAUUUUGAACCGGAGGAAUCAAGAGUUCAAGACGGCUUUGGUGUCACAUAUAGAUGGAUCCGCGCUGGAUUAGCUAGUUGGUAAGGUAACGGCCUACCAAGGCAACGAUGCGUAGCCGACCUGAGAGGGUGAUCGGCCACACUGGAACUGAGACACGGUCCAGACUCCUACGGGAGGCAGCAGUGGGGAAUAUUCCGCAAUGGGCGAAAGCCUGAUCCAGCCAUACCGCGUGAGUGAUGAAGGCCUUCGGGUUGUAAAGCCCUGUUAUUGGGGAAGAACAGAUGUGUAAUUAACUAUGCACGUCUUGACGGUACCUAAUCAGAAAGCCCCGGCUAACUACGUG
rnacentral:rRNA from 1 species